rnacentral:lncRNA from 1 species
GUCAGCCUCCUGCCCAGUCCUUGGUAAGGCAUUCAGUGUCCACAAGGUAUUCAUGCAGCCUUUUAGUCCAAUCAAAAUAUCAGACAUCUUUCCUUCUUUGGAGAGUCAUGGACUCCAGUCAUAUAGGUCCUCAUUUAAAAAUAGCAUUUUUGCAAGUUUCUUAGCAAACAUCUACAGGUACUAUUUGUGCUCAACUGCCCAGAAAUUUACCCAUGGGCCCACCUCCCCAUCCUCCCAGAGUUAUCUCUUCCUCCGGACGUCAUUACUAGGUCCCCAUUAAAUGACUUAGGUAAAUGGCUUCUGCUCUUCAUUUUCCUGAAAAGAGUACAUCUAUGGAAUGCCCACCUUUUUAUAAAAGGAUGUGUGCACAAGCCCACAUAGGUUCCAAAGUGGUGUCUGCAGACACCUGCGACAGCACCCCAUUUAGCUAUCCUGAUCCAUGCCUACCCUUUCAGAGUGUGGAGAAUAAUGUUCUGCUUUCACAAGCCCACUAGAUGAUUCUGACAUGUGCCGAAGUAUGAGACCCAAUGACAUGGGUGGUCUUAGACGUCUGAGUUCAUCAACCACAGGUUCAAUGGUACAACACCCAUCCCUGCUCAUGAGUGGGUUGUGAAAUGAUCUUGGAAAGAUCACUGGAGACUCUGUCUCAGAGCAGCUCAGGCCAGGCCACAACUCAGAACAGAGUGAACAAAAUGAAGGAGGGAGAAAUGGUCCUGGACCUGGCACAAAUAUCUUCUGCCAGCUCUAUGCUCCUGAUGCCGUGUGCCCUCUUAUAUAUUACCACACUGAUGGUCCUGUCCCACACUCUGCCCAAGCCCACCUAGCAGCUAUGCCCUGGUUUGAAAAGUGCCCAGAUGUGAGCACACUGAUUUUGUACCAGGUUUCUGUGCAGGAGGAAAAUCCAGGUAUUCAGAAAUUUGUGCAAAGCUGGAAAAGAAGGAAAGGAAUGAGCUCUAUGCUUGUUCUGUACAGUUGGGCCACCUCUGAGCUUCCUCCCAGGGUAGUUGUCCUCAAUGGCAUGACUGUUCUGUGGAACCCCUAGGCUACUCCAAUUUGGACCAGUCAGCUACCCCAAGAUGGAAGGCAAUCCACGAGAAACAGGCAGGAGGAAGACCCUGUCCAAAUGAGGUGUCCCAAAGUUGACUGUGAGGUGUCCCCCAGGAUGACACAGAAGCAGGACAAAGCAAAGCCUUGCUUGGAGCAGGAGGAAACAGAGAGCCCCUGGAUCUAGAACAUAUCUACUGCCUUCCAUCCGAGCACCUAGGGAACUAUCUGCUCACUCUAGUCCACACUACCUUGCUUUGUAUCCUACAAUUCUAGGGACUCUCCCUGGACCUCUGGAAGCUGAAGGCGGAUUCCAUCUAAGGCAUCUUUCAUAAUUCCACAAGUCCACAUCCUUCUUCUAUACCACACACUAGAUGAGAACAGCUAAAAUUGGGGGCUCCCAAGUGGAAACAGGUCUCCUCUCUAGCCCUGGAUAUCUCCCAUACAGGAAGGAGGAGGGGAAACCAGAGGCAGUAUGCUACUUCCAAGGCCUGAGGUAUCAGGUCUCCUGAGAAACACUGAACUGGUGUUUUCUGAGCUGGACAUGUAAGUCCUCAGGCACAAUGGAGACACCCAGACACAGCUGCUAACUGUAGUGGUACCAGGGACCAGCACCCUCUGAGCUCUAUGCCACCUUAGAAGUACCACACUGAGGGCACUCCAAGUGCAAGGAUCAGGCAGCAUAUCCCAGAAUCCCAAUCUCAGCUCAGGGACAUGAUGAUGUCCUUAUAGAAGAGGCUGUUCUGAAAGCAGUAGGGACUGCUGGAAUCUGUCUUACAUGUCAUUUCUCCCUGCCUGCUAACUCCAUCUGACAGGCAGUCACAUUCCCUAGAAGUGGCCCCAGGAGACCACGGGCAAGGUGCAAAGUGAAAUAAAGAAGACAAUGCAGCCGCAGCCCAGCUAGCUGCAGCACCAACUGUGGGAAGCUCGUGCCCUCAUGGGGCUGGGCCUGUCCAUCAUAAAACUCUUCAGUGAGGCCAAAGAGUCUCGGCUUCCCACCUGCACCGACAAUCUGCCUCCACAGCCUCCCGGGGCCGGGAGCAGCUCAGGACCUGCAGGCUGAGGCUAAACUGGCCUCCUUCCCCGCAGUUCCAUCCUUGCCACAGCCACUCUCCCACCUCCUGAGGGGAGUUAAAUGGAUAUAACAGACACCAGAGAUGGCAGUCAAAAUCUAUUGUGACUUUUUACACAAUUUUGCCAACACCUACUCUAGAGAAGUAGGAUCAUAUUAAUACUCUAUGCUGGGAGUUAUACUUGAAAGGCCAGUUAAACGAAAUCAAACACCUUUGUGGGUAAGUAAAAGGCUUCCAUUAUUCUCAGUACUCUUCAUAACAGUAAACAUGAAGACUGGCAAGGUUGUCGGGUCCUUACUGUACUGGGGAGGGGCAUCCACCUGCUGCCUUUCUCUCAUCUCAGAAGUUACAACCAGUGCUACUGGAUUAGUAUAAGUGAGAGCUGAUACCAAGAUGGAAUCAUUCUCCUCAGUCCCCGAGCUGGAAGUUACGCCUGCCUGCCUGCCCAAGUUCUUUCUAACAGCCCCCAAAUUAUUUCAUCUCAAUUAUUUCUACCUGCUGCCAUGAUUUACAACCCUCCCCUGCUUUGCACACCUCCUAGGAAUGAAAAAUUUCUGCAACAAUGCUUACAUUUUUUUUCUAAAGAUGACCACAAUUCAGAAAAGACGUUUUGGACACACUUGCCCAGCAAUCACACCUCCAUUAACCAGCGGAUGGGAACUCCUGCUGCAGGGGCCAAGACCAGGGAACUGUGUAUUAAAAUAGCCUUUUCUCUCUGUGUGGUCAACUUUAUCUUCAAGAUUAUAUAUUUUUGUCUUCAUUGCCUGAGGUUCUGUCUUCCAAAUGGUCUAGUCUAUUGGUGAUGCUUCCCACUGAAUUCUUAGAUCUAUUGAGUGCUUCAUUUUUGAGGAUUUCUGCAUGAUUUCAGAACCUCUUUUUAUUGAAGUAAUCUUUUAUCUCCUGAAUUUUAUCUCUGAUUUCACUCCUUAUAUCAUCCUUUGCCUCAGGGAUCAGUGUAACUAUGGACACUCUAAACUCCUUCUCUGACAUUUCUUCCACGGUGGUGUCAUUGGAUUAUAUUGUUGGUGCAUCUUGGUUUGUUUGGGGUGAUUUGUUCCCUUGUUUUUUUUUUUCAUAUUUGUGUGUCUACCCAUCUACCAGUGUGGAUCUGAGGCAGUACAGUUUCUAACCUAUAGACUUGUAGUGUCUCUGAAGGUUUCCAGUAUUUUCCCUUGAAGGGGGAAACCAAUAACAGCAACCAAUGCACACCAUAUACAGCAUUAAGCCAGAUAGCCCCUGCUAUGAUAUCUACAGUUUUGUUGGAGUGAAUCAGUUAUUAUUACCCUCUAUGCAUAUAUGAUUACAAAACUGGCGUAAUUCUCUAUCAUGUACAACUAGAAAAAUGAGAAGUUACAUUCCAUUUAUGUAUGAUGUCAAAAUGCAUUCUACAGACAUUUAUAACUAAUAGAAUCUUAAAAAUUUAAAAAGGAAAAGAAAGAUGUGUGUUGGGGUAGGGGAAAUCUCAUAAAAUGGAAGGGAGAAAGGAAUCAGGGGAGGGAGGGGAGAAGGAAAAGGAGAAAUUAUAUUGGCCAAAUUAUAUUGUGUACAGAUAUGAAUAUUUAAUAACAAACCCCACCAUGAUAUACAAUGAUAAUGCACCAAUAAAAAAUUUGUGUGUUGGGGGGAGAGUAGACUAUUCUCUAAAGUAGCAGUUUCUCCCUUGGCCUUUCAAAUUGGUACUUGCCUCAACUUCAUUAAAGAAGCCCACGGUUUACUUCAGCAUUUGAUUUUUUUUUAUGGCAAUGCUUUCAUUACCAAGUAAACAGUUCACACAACUUCAAUCUCUG